rnacentral:rRNA from 1 species
GGAUGAACGCUGGCGGCGUGCUUAACACAUGCAAGUCGAACGAUGAAGCCCAGCUUGCUGGGUGGAUUAGUGGCGAACGGGUGAGUAACACGUGAGUAACCUGCCCUUAACUCUGGGAUAAGCCUGGGAAACUGGGUCUAAUACCGGGUAGGAGCGUCCACCGCAUGGUGGGUGUUGGAAAGAUUUAUCGGUUUUGGAUGGACUCGCGGCCUAUCAGCUUGUUGGUGAGGUAAUGGCUCACCAAGGCGACGACGGGUAGCCGGCCUGAGAGGGUGACCGGCCACACUGGGACUGAGACACGGCCCAGACUCCUACGGGAGGCAGCAGUGGGGAAUAUUGCACAAUGGGCGCAAGCCUGAUGCAGCGACGCCGCGUGAGGGAUGACGGCCUUCGGGUUGUAAACCUCUUUCAGUAGGGAAGAAGCGAAAGUGACGGUACCUGCAGAAGAAGCACCGGCUAACUACGUG